AUUGAACGCUGGCGGCAUGCCUUACACAUGCAAGUCGAACGGUAACAGGUCUUCGGAUGCUGACGAGUGGCGAACGGGUGAGUAAUACAUCGGAACGUGCCUAGUAGUGGGGGAUAACUACUCGAAAGAGUGGCUAUACCGCAUGAGAUCUACGGAUGAAAGCAGGGGAUCGCAAGACCUUGUGCUACUAGAGCGGCCGAUGGCAGAUUAGGUAGUUGGUGGGAUAAAAGCUUACCAAGCCGACGAUCUGUAGCUAGGCUGAGAGGACGAUCAGCCACACUGGGACUGAGACACGGCCCAGACUCCUACGGGAAGCAGCAGUGGGGAAUUUUGGACAAUGGGCGCAAGCCUGAUCCAGCAAUGCCGCGUGCAGGAUGAAGGCCUUCGGGUUGUAAACUGCUUUUGUACGGAACGAAAAGCCCUGGGUUAAUACCCUGGGGUCAUGACGGUACCGUAAGAAUAAGCACCGGCUAACUACGUGCCAGCCGCCGCAGUAAAAC
rnacentral:rRNA from 1 species